CCUACGGGAGGCAGCAGUAAGGAAUAUUGCGCAAUGGGCGAAAGCCUGACGCAGCGACGCCGCGUGGGGGAUGAAGGUCUUCGGAUUGUAAACCCCUUUCGGGAGGGAAGAUGGAACGAGCAAUCGUUCGGACGGUACCUCCAGAAGCAGCCACGGCUAACUUCGUGCCAGCAGCCGCGGUAAUACGAAGGUGGCAAGCGUUAUUCGGAUUUACUGGGCGUACAGGGAGCGUAGGCGGUUCGGUAAGCCCUCUGUGAAAUCUCCAGGCUUAACCUGGAACAGUCGGAGGGGACUGCUGGGCUAGAGGACGGGAGAGGAGCGCGGAAUUCCCGGUGUAGCGGUGAAAUGCGUAGAGAUCGGGAGGAAGGCCGGUGGCGAAGGCGGCGCUCUGGAACGUUUCUGACGCUGAGGCUCGAAAGCGUGGGGAGCAAACAGGAUUAGAUACCCUGGUAGUCCACGCCUUAAACUAUGAAUACUAAGUGUCGGCGGUUUACCGCCGGUGCCGCAGCUAACGCAUUAAGUAUUCCGCCUGGGAAGUACGGCUGCAAGGUUGAAACUCAAAGGAAUUGACGG
rnacentral:rRNA from 1 species